ACGGCUCAGUAACACGUGGAUAACCUGCCCUUGGGACCGGCAUAACCCCGGGAAACUGGGGAUAAUUCCGGAUAACGCAUAUGUGCUGGAAUGCUUUAUGCGUAAAAUGGAUUCGUCUGCCCAAGGAUGGGUCUGCGGCCUAUCAGGUAGUAGUGGGUGUAAUGUACCUACUAGCCGACAACGGGUACGGGUUGUGAGAGCAAGAGCCCGGAGAUGGAUUCUGAGACAUGAAUCCAGGCCCUACGGGGCGCAGCAGGCGCGAAAACUUUACAAUGCGGGAAACCGUGAUAAGGGGACACCGAGUGCCAGCAUCAUAUGCUGGCUGUCCGGGUGUGUAAAAUACACCCGUUAGCAAGGGCCGGGCAAGACCGGUGCCAGCCGCCGCGGUAACACCGGCGGCCCGAGUGGUGAUCGUGAUUAUUGGGUCUAAAGGGUCCGUAGCCGGUUUGGUCAGUCCUCCGGGAAAUCUGAUAGCUCAACUAUUAGGCUAUCGGGGGAUACUACCAGACUUGGAACCGGGAGAGGUAAGAGGUACUACAGGGGUAGGAGUGAAAUCUUGUAAUCCCUGUGGGACCACCUGUGGCGAAGGCGUCUUACCAGAACGGGUUCGACGGUGAGGGACGAAAGCUGGGGGCACGAACCGGAUUAGAUACCCGGGUAGUCCCAGCCGUAAACGAUGCUCGCUAGGUGUCAGGCAUGGCGCGACCGUGUCUGGUGCCGCANGGAAGCCGUGAAGCGAGCCACCUGGGAAGUACGGCCGCAAGGCUGAAACUUAAAGGAAUUGGCGGGGGAGCAC
rnacentral:rRNA from 1 species